GUGACUAUACUUUCAGGGAUCAUUUCUAUAGUUUGUAACUAGAGAAGUGUGGUUGAAAGUGUCUGUUAACACUCAAGGCAGAGCUCUUAGAGU
rnacentral:snoRNA from 1 species